rnacentral:rRNA from 1 species
AUGGCACCGGCAAGGGCUCCGGCAGGGCGACUCCAUGUCCCCGCAGCUCUUGGUGCUCGCGGUCGACACCCUGGGGCGGCUCCUACGACGCGCACACUGCCUGGGCAUCCUGCAGCCGCUACACCCACAGCGCCACAUCCCGGCGAUCUCCCUCUACGCCGACGACGUCAUGGUCUUCUGCCACGCCACGGCGGAUGA